GUGUUGUAUCUAGCGCAGACAAGAAUUAUUUCUUAGUCAGCGCCAGAGCAAUGUACUCGGUUCGUGUCGAGCUGUUACUGUGCUAGGUCUAGCAGCGUAAACUGCUGGAGCAGUUACUCUGCCCGGUGCAUAGCGUCGCGCGCGUUCUACUCAAGCGCCCGCCGCCGCGCCCGUGCCCGUUCAUGAGCUUAGUGUCGCGCUACAACACCACGUGCUCGCACUGCAGGCCACACAAGAGGACAGCAGCUGAGGGUCACUAUCAUGGUAUUUAUUGUGGAUCUUGUUAUACAGUAUUGAAUUUGACCAAUCUCAUGAUUUUAAUUAGAUAGUCUAAUUUAUUAUUUUAUAAGUAUUAUUAACAUGAAAAUAAACUUAUUUUGAAGCUUA